rnacentral:rRNA from 1 species
GAUGAACGCUGGCGGCGUGCCUAAUACAUGCAAGUCGAGCGAACGGACGAGAAGCUUGCUUCUCUGAUGUUAGCGGCGGACGGGUGAGUAACACGUGGAUAACCUACCUAUAAGACUGGGAUAACUUCGGGAAACCGGAGCUAAUACCGGAUAAUAUUUUGAACCGCAUGGUUCAAAAGUGAAAGACGGUCUUGCUGUCACUUAUAGAUGGAUCCGCGCUGCAUUAGCUAGUUGGUAAGGUAACGGCUUACCAAGGCAACGAUGCAUAGCCGACCUGAGAGGGUGAUCGGCCACACUGGAACUGAGACACGGUCCAGACUCCUACGGGAGGCAGCAGUAGGGAAUCUUCCGCAAUGGGCGAAAGCCUGACGGAGCAACGCCGCGUGAGUGAUGAAGGUCUUCGGAUCGUAAAACUCUGUUAUUAGGGAAGAACAUAUGUGUAAGUAACUGUGCACAUCUUGACGGUACCUAAUCAGAAAGCCACGGCUAACUACGUGCCAGCAGCCGCGGUAAUACGUAGGGGGCAAGCGUUAUCCGGAAUUAUUGGGCGUAAAGCGCGCGUAGGCGGUUUUUUAGUCUGAUGUGAAAGCCCACGGCUCAACCGUGGAGGGUCAUUGGAAACUGGAAAACUUGAGUGCAGAAGAGGAAAGUGGAAUUCCAUGUGUAGCGGUGAAAUGCGCAGAGAUAUGGAGGAACACCAGUGGCGAAGGCGACUUUCUGGUCUGUAACUGACGCUGAUGUGCGAAAGCGUGGGGAUCAAACAGGAUUAGAUACCCUGGUAGUCCACGCCGUAAACGAUGAGUGCUAAGUGUUAGGGGGUUUCCGCCCCUUAGUGCUGCAGCUAACGCAUUAAGCACUCCGCCUGGGGAGUACGACCGCAAGGUUGAAACUCAAAGGAAUUGACGGGGACCCGCACAAGCGGUGGAGCAUGUGGUUUAAUUCGAAGCAACGCGAAGAACCGUACCAAAUCUUGACAUCCUUUGACAACUCUAGAGAUAGAGCCUUCCCCUUCGGGGGACAAAGUGACAGGUGGUGCAUGGUUGUCGUCAGCUCGUGUCGUGAGAUGUUGGGUUAAGUCCCGCAACGAGCGCAACCCUUAAGCUUAGUUGCCAUCAUUAAGUUGGGCACUCUAAGUUGACUGCCGGUGACAAACCGGAGGAAGGUGGGGAUGACGUCAAAUCAUCAUGCCCCUUAUGAUUUGGGCUACACACGUGCUACAAUGGACAAUACAAAGGGCAGCGAAACCGCGAGGUCAAGCAAAUCCCAUAAAGUUGUUCUCAGUUCGGAUUGUAGUCUGCAACUCGACUACAUGAAGCUGGAAUCGCUAGUAAUCGUAGAUCAGCAUGCUACGGUGAAUACGUUCCCGGGUCU